GGCCCUUACGACCAGGGCUACACACGUGCUACAAUGGCGCAUACAAAGAGAAGCGACCUCGCGAGAGCAAGCGGACCUCAUAAAGUGCAGUCGUAGUCCGGAUUGGAGUCUGCAACUCGACUCCAUGAAGUCGGAAUCGCUAGUAAUCGUGGAUCAGAAUGCCACGGUGAAUACGUUCCCGGGCCUUGUACACACCGCCCGUCACACCAUGGGAGUGGGUUGCAAAAGAAGUAGGUAGCUUAACCUUCGGGAGGGCGCUUACCACUUUGUGAUUCAUGACUGGGGUGAAGUCGUAACAAGGUAACCGUAGGGGAACCUGCGGUUGGAUCACCUCCUUACCUUAAAGAAGC
rnacentral:rRNA from 1 species